rnacentral:pre_miRNA from 1 species
UUUUGCGGUAGUUUCAAUUUGUGACCGCCAAUUAACGAGUAUACAGGUAUUUUUACUCGUUAUUGCGAUCACAUACUGAAACUAAACCGU